CAGUCCCGCGGGAAUACGAAGGGUGCAAGCGUUACUCGGAAUUACUGGGCGUAAAGCGUGCGUAGGUGGUGGUUUAAGUCCGUUGUGAAAGCCCUGGGCUCAACCUGGGAAUUGCAGUGGAUACUGGGUCACUAGAGUGUGGUAGAGGAUAGUGGAAUUUCCGGUGUAGCAGUGAAAUGCGUAGAGAUCGGAAGGAACAUCUGUGGCGAAGGCGACUAUCUGGGCCAACACUGACACUGAGGCACGAAAGCGUGGGGAGCAAACAGGAUUAGAUACCCCUGUAGUCCCUGUCUCUUAUACA
rnacentral:rRNA from 1 species